rnacentral:rRNA from 1 species
CCUACGGGCGGCUGCAGUGAGGAAUAUUGGUCAAUGGGCGCGAGCCUGAACCAGCCACGUAGCGUGAAGGAUGACUGCCCUACGGGUUGUAAACUCCUUUUAUAAAGGAAUAAAGUGAGGCACGUGUGCCUUUUUGCAUGUCCUUUAUGAAUAAGGAUCGGCUAACUCCGUGCCAGCAGCCGCGGUAAUACGGAGGUUCCGAGCGUUAUCCGGAUUUAUUGGGUUUAAAGGGAGCGUAGAUGGGUUGUUAAGUCAGGUGUGAAAGUUUGCGGCUCAACCGUAAAAUUGCAAUGGAUACUGGCAGUCUUGAGUACAGUUGAGGUAGGCGGAAUUCGUGGUGUAGCGGUGAAAUGCUUAGAUAUCACGAAGAACUCCGAUGGCGAAGGCAGCUUACUAAACUGCCACUGACAUUGAUGCUCGAAAGUGUGGGUAUCAAACAGGAUUAGAUACCCUUGUAGUC